AGACCCGAAACCCGGUGAUCUAGCCAUGGGCAGGUUGAAGGUUGGGUAACACUAACUGGAGGACCGAACCGACUAAUGUUGAAAAAUUAGCGGAUGACCUGUGGCUGGGGGUGAAAGGCCAAUCAAACCGGGAGAUAGCUGGUUCUCCCCGAAAGCUAUUUAGGUAGCGCCUCGUGAAUUCAUCUCCGGGGGUAGAGCACUGUUUCGGCUAGGGGGCCAUCCCGGCUUACCAACCCGAUGCAAACUGCGAAUACCGGAGAAUGUUAUCACGGGAGACACACGGCGGGUGCUAACGUCCGUCGUGAAGAGGGAAACAACCCAGACCGCCAGCUAAGGUCCCAAAGUCAUGGUUAAGUGGGAAACGAUGUGGGAAGGCCCAGACAGCCAGGAUGUUGGCUUAGAAGCAGCCAUCAUUUAAAGAAAGCGUAAUAGCUCACUGGUCGAGUCGGCCUGCGCGGAAGAUGUAACGGGGCUAAACCAUGCACCGAAGCUGCGGCAGCGACGCUGAUGCGUUGUUGGGUAGGGGAGCGUUCUGUAAGCCUGUGAAGGUGGCCUGUGAGGGUUGCUGGAGGUAUCAGAAGUGCGAAUGCUGACAUAAGUAACGAUAAAGCGGGUGAAAAGCCCGCUCGCCGGAAGACCAAGGGUUCCUGUCCAACGUUAAUCGGGGCAGGGUGAGUCGACCCCUAAGGCGAGGCCGAAAGGCGUAGUCGAUGGGAAACGGGUUAAUAUUCCCGUACUUGGUGUUACUGCGAAGGGGGGACGGAGAAGGCUAUGUUGGCCGGGCGACGGUUGUCCCGGUUUAAGCGUGUAGGUGUGUGUUCCAGGUAAAUCCGGUUCACUUUAACACUGAGGCGUGAUGACGAGGCACUACGGUGCUGAAGCAACAAAUGCCCUGCUUCCAGGAAAAGCCUCUAAGCAUCAGGUAACAUCAAAUCGUACCCCAAACCGACACAGGUGGUCAGGUAGAGAAUACCAAGGCGCUUGAGAGAACUCGGGUGAAGGAACUAGGCAAAAUGGUGCCGUAACUUCGGGAGAAGGCACGCUGACACGUAGGUGAAGUGAUUUACUCAUGGAGCUGAAGUCAGUCGAAGAUACCAGCUGGCUGCAACUGUUUAUUAAAAACACAGCACUGUGCAAACACGAAAGUGGACGUAUACGGUGUGACGCCUGCCCGGUGCCGGAAGGUUAAUUGAUGGGGUCAGCGCAAGCGAAGCUCCUGAUCGAAGCCCCGGUAAACGGCGGCCGUAACUAUAACGGUCCUAAGGUAGCGAAAUUCCUUGUCGGGUAAGUUCCGACCUGCACGAAUGGCGUAAUGAUGGCCAGGCUGUCUCCACCCGAGACUCAGUGAAAUUGAACUCGCUGUGAAGAUGCAGUGUACCCGCGGCAAGACGGAAAGACCCCGUGAACCUUUACUAUAGCUUGACACUGAACAUUGAGCCUUGAUGUGUAGGAUAGGUGGGAGGCUUUGAAGUGUGGACGCCAGUCUGCAUGGAGCCGGCCUUGAAAUACCACCCUUUAAUGUUUGAUGUUCUAACGUGGACCCGUGAUCCGGGUUGCGGACAGUGUCUGGUGGGUAGUUUGACUGGGGCGGUCUCCUCCUAAAGAGUAACGGAGGAGCACGAAGGUUGGCUAAUCCUGGUCGGACAUCAGGAGGUUAGUGCAAUGGCAUAAGCCAGCUUGACUGCGAGCGUGACGGCGCGAGCAGGUGCGAAAGCAGGUCAUAGUGAUCCGGUGGUUCUGAAUGGAAGGGCCAUCGCUCAACGGAUAAAAGGUACUCCGGGGAUAACAGGCUGAUACCGCCCAAGAGUUCAUAUCGACGGCGGUGUUUGGCACCUCGAUGUCGGCUCAUCACAUCCUGGGGCUGAAGUAGGUCCCAAGGGUAUGGCUGUUCGCCAUUUAAAGUGGUACGCGAGCUGGGUUUAGAACGUCGUGAGACAGUUCGGUCCCUAUCUGCCGUGGGCGCUGGAGAACUGAGGGGGGCUGCUCCUAGUACGAGAGGACCGGAGUGGACGCAUCACUGGUGUUCGGGUUGUCAUGCCAAUGGCACUGCCCGGUAGCUAAAUGCGGAAGAGAUAAGUGCUGAAAGCAUCUAAGCACGAAACUUGCCCCGAGAUGAGUUCUCCCUGAGACUUAGAGUCUCCUGAAGGAACGUUGAAGACG
rnacentral:rRNA from 1 species